AUGAAGAUGCCUCCGUAACGCCUCAGACAGGGUGAGGCCCGCCCGGCUCUUUGCUGGGCUCCUUCUUGGUGUGAGUCAGUGCACCUUCUGGUAAGGUUCAUCUUAGAGCAUGUCCAUCCCAUUUCGGCCUAGUGCCACCCUCUGUCACUUUACCCCUCCCCUCCAGUCAACCCCUCCUUGUGAGGUGCAACAUGCCAACAAUCUAAUCUGUUUCCUUCAAAAUUUUUCAUAUAUAAAUAUAAAAGCUUUUUCUUUGGGGUAGUUGUGCUUGGUACAACAUGGAAUCAUUUUAUGCGUACUGCUCGUUGUCUGUCUUUUUGCAUCCUGCUGAGGCCUGAUAGUCCCUGGUGUGGAUGUACCAUGAUUUACCCAGUCCUGCCCCAUCUUGAACGUGUCAGAGGGGCAUCCAUUUAGCCUCCAGGGGUUUCUUCCCACACUCCCACCCAGCCACCCAGAGUGAUACACUAAGCAUCUUUGUUCGAUGUCCAGACGGAUGCUUUUAUUUCAUUGGGAUGGAUUCCCAGGUGUGGGAUUGCUGGGCCAGACUCUAAAUUUUAAAAUGGAUUUUUAUCAAUCUAAUGGACUGUGCUGGAGAGAGCCAACAUCUUGAUAGAAACACUCAACUUAGAGUGAAUUUUUUAGAUGUAAAAGUGGAUGGUAAUUAAGCGUACGCACAUUAAAAAGAGUAAUUUGACCAGCUGUAUCACAGUAUUAAUUGAUUACAAUGUCUGGAAGACGUUUGAUUCUAGUAUUUGAGCUUGAAGAAGCAGGUGGAAAUUCUACCAGGUUUGCCUACAUUAUCUUUCACAAAAGUGACAGGAAGUAGCCAGCUCGUCUUUACUAGUGUUUUUAUAGGACAAAAGUGGCUACUCAGUGUCACCAUGGAUGCCAAGCAUCACAGUCCAGUGGACAAGGAUGCUGAGGCUGAGUCUAGGCCGGGGUGUUGAGAGCCAGGGGGGCCCUGGUUGAUUGGCAGGCUUGUUUUGAAGGGCAGGGUGUGUGGGCAGGCACCAAGAAUCUGUGUCUCGUCACUCAAUGGCAGACGGAAUGUUUCUCCUUCCGCUUUGCAGAGGUGGGCGAAUGCCUAUGAUACAGACCGCCUCUCAUCCAAGGCUUCCAGAGGCCCAGCAUUUCUAAACUAAGAGCGGUUCUUGAUGGUACCUGAUAGGCCAACCAUGAGAUUUGGUCCUGGAGUUCCUGUCGUGGAUCAAUGGUUAACGAGUCCGACUAGGAACCAUGAGGUUGCGGGUUCGAUCCUUGGCCUCGCUGCGUGGGUUGAAGAUCUGGCGUUGCCACAAGCUGUGGUGUAGGUCACAGACGAGGCUCAGAUCUGGUGUUGCUGCGGCUCUGGCGUAGGCUGGCGGCUACACAUCCGAUCAGACCCCUAGCUUGAGAACCUCCAUGUGCCGCAGGUGCGGCCCUGGAAAGACAAGAAGAAAGAAAAAAUAAUAGUCCUGUGGGGUGAUGGGAGCCAGCCCAGCGGGAUGAAGGACUGGCCCGGAUGAGGGAGAGCAUCCCCAGACCCUUCCUGAAGCGCACUUGCUCAGACUGGGAGAAGAACUGGGGGAUUCUCUGUAACUGCUCUUCUGUAUCUUGGUACAACCGAGUCCUUGACUUCACGUGUUUGACAGCUUGCUUAGUCACACAGCUCUUAAUCCCGCUGCAUCCCAAAGGGCCCUCUCUGCUUCUAGAUGUUACUUUGCACUGGGGGCUUGUCGGUGGUGGUGUGCCUCUGGAAGGAGUCUUUCAGAAUUAGGAGACUCUGGGAGAGGCAGAGUUAAGAGGCAUGGCCCAAGUUCCUAAUCAGAUCCACUCUCUACCCGCUGAGUAAAACUGGGCAAAACACCCCCUGCUGAGGCCUCUUUUGGUGACUGGGCAGAGUUCUACUUCUAUCACAGGGCUGGAUGCAGCUUAAUAAAUGGAACGUGGGAGUUCCUGUUGUGGCUCAGCAGUUAACGAACCCGACUAGCGUCCAUGAGGAUGCGGGUUUGAUCCCUGGCCUCGCCCAGUCGGUCAGGGAUCUGGCAUUGGCUGUGAGCUGUGGUGUAUGUAGGUCACAGGUAUGGGUCGGAUCCCGUGUUGCUGUGACUGUGGCGAAGGCAGGCAGCUGUAGCUCUGAUUCGACCCCUAGUCUGGGAACUUCCAUAUGCCACGGGUGCGGCUCUAAAAAGCAAAAAUAAAUAAAUAAAUUAAUUAAUUAAAUGAGCUCACUUAGAUAAAUUAGGAGUUCCCUUGUGGCCCAGUGGAUAGGACUUGGCACUUUCACUGCAGUGGCCCGAGUUCGAUCCCUGGUCUGAGAACUGACAUCCCACAUCCCUCCAUAGCCAAAAAAAAAAAAAAAAAUUAUGGGAUUCAUCAUGAUGGUUUCCGAAUUUGUUGGUAUUUUCAGGAUGCCUAACCUUAUUAGUGCCCUUUUAUUUCAGUAGGAUUAAAAAAAGUACUUUCCAAAGUAUUAGAUAUUAUUUAGUCAAUGCUUUAAAAAAACUACCUUUUGAAAAGCAUUACUAAAUGCACAAGAAAACACAAUUUCUGCUAUGACAGUUGGGGGUGUGUGUGUGUGCGCACAGGAUGGCGUGGAGGUGUAUUCUCUAGCUUAUGAGGACUGUCGAACUUUGCUGGUGUGUCUGUAGUUUGGGUACUGGAGAUGGGGAAAGUGAGCAUUUGAAACUCAUGACACAUUGUGCAAGUUUUCAGGAAACGGGUUCAGAGAGAUUAAGUACACCCACGCCUAAAACCCCUGUUCUUCCUACCUAUAUAAGACCCCAGAGCAGAGAACAGAAGAGAGACGAGGCAUUUUUUAAAAUUGAGAAGUUGAUCUGAGGGUCAUUCAACUUUGGUCCUCUUCUCUUUAAUAGUAAGGCCGCGAAUAGAUUCAUGAAACCUACUCGUAGUUGAAAAAUGAGGAUUAG
rnacentral:lncRNA from 1 species